GACGAACGCUGGCGGCGUGCCUAACACAUGCAAGUCGAGCGAGAAUCUUAUGAAUGAUCCUUCGGGUGAAUGAUUAAGAGGAGAGCGGCGGACGGGUGAGUAACGCGUGAGUAAUCUGCCUUAAGGAGGGGGAUAACACAGAGAAAUCUGUGCUAAUACCGCAUAACAUAUCUUUACCGCAUGAUAGAGAUAUCAAAACUGAGGUGCCUUAAGAUGAGCUCGCGUCCGAUUAACUAGUUGGUGGGGUAAUGGCCCACCAAGGUUACGAUCGGUAGCCGGACUGAGAGGUGGAACGGCCACAGUGGAACUGAGAUACGGUCCAGACUCCUACGGGAGGCAGCAGUGGGGGAUAUUGCGCAAUGGGGGAAACCCUGACGCAGCAACGCCGCGUGAAGGAAGAAGGUCUUCGGAUUGUAAACUUUUGUCUUUUGGGAAGAUAAUGACGGUACCAAAGGAGGAAGCCACGGCUAACUACGUGCCAGCUGCCGCCGUAAUAC
rnacentral:rRNA from 1 species